rnacentral:lncRNA from 1 species
UUCUGUACUUGAUGAUGAUGUGUACAUAGCUAGUGAAAGCUUUCUUCAGAUGAUGAUGACGAUGAUAUGAGUCGGCAACCAAUAGAUAUAAACGCUGCAGCUACAAUUCAUAGAGACAAAAUCACCAUAGAAACCAAUGUAUUAAAUCGCGGGCUAAGAGGUUUAGCGGCUGGGUUCCAGAACAGCUAAGUCCAGCUAUAACCGGCUAUAGCGGAAGCUAAACCUUUUAGCGGAUUUGCAAAAAAAAAAGAGUAUAAACAUGAACAUCUAUUGAAGAAUACAUGCCUGUUUGCUUCUCUUGCUGAGAUAUGGUGCCGGUUGAACUGGACAGCAAUUGGAGGUUGGAGAGUGGAGAGAAUACUAUUGGAGUACUGCCUUGAUUAUUGCUACUUGCUUCAUUGCUUGCCGCCAGCAGUGAGCUAGGGACAGGGAGUAGUGGCCGAGAUCCUACAGGAGCAGCAACGGCAUCUCCUGCUUCAUCCCCAUCGCCGCCAACGUGUUGAACUUGAACCGUUGAAGCCAGCCGCCGCCAUCAGGUUGAAAAUGAGAGUCUGAGCUAGGGUUUGCAGUUUUGC